rfam:Salmo salar isolate Sally breed double haploid chromosome ssa16, whole genome shotgun sequence.
UAGCUCAGUAGGUAGAGCAUGGUGUUUGCAACGCCAGGGUUGUGGGUUCGAUUCCCAC